GAUGAAGAACGUAGCGAAAUGCGAUAAGUAAUGUGAAUUGCAGAAUUCAGUGAAUCAUCGAAUCUUUGAACGCACAUUGCGCCCGCCAGUAUUCUGGCGGCAUGCCUGUUCGAGCGUCAUUACAACCCUCAGGCCCCCGGGCCUGGCGUUGGGGAUCGGCGGAAGCCCCCUGCGGGCACAACGCCGUCCCCCAAAUACAGUGGCGGUCCCGCCGCAGCUUCCAUUGCGUAGUAGCUAACACCUCGCAACUGGAGAGCGGCGCGGCCACGCCGUAAAACACCCAACUUCUGAAUGUUGACCUCGAAUCAGGUAGGAAUACCCGCUGAACUUAAGCAUAUCAAUAAGCGGAGGA
rnacentral:misc_RNA from 1 species